rnacentral:misc_RNA from 1 species
GAUGAAGAACGCAGCGAAAUGCGAUAAGUAAUGUGAAUUGCAGAAUUCAGUGAAUCAUCGAAUCUUUGAACGCACAUUGCGCCCCUUGGUAUUCCGGGGGGCAUGCCUGUUCGAGCGUCAUUAUAACCCCUCAAGCUCAGCUUGGUGUUGGGGCCUGCCAACUGGCAGCCCUUAAAAUAAGUGGCGGCGCCAUCUGGCUCUAAGCGUAGUAAUUUCUCUCGCUAUAGGGUCCCGGUGGAUGCUUGCCAACAACCCCCAAUUUUCUAUGGUUGACCUCGGAUCAGGUAGGGAUACCCGCUGAACUUAAGCAUAUCAAUAAGCGGAGGA